UACGUAGGGUGCGAGCGUUGUCCGGAAUUAUUGGGCGUAAAGAGCUCGUAGGCGGCUUGUCACGUCGGUUGUGAAAGCCCGGGGCUUAACCCCGGGUCUGCAGUCGAUACGGGCAGGCUAGAAUUCGGUAGGGGAGACUGGAAUUCCUGGUGUAGCGGUGAAAUGCGCAGAUAUCAGGAGGAACACCGGUGGCGAAGGCGGGAUCCUGGGCCAGUACUGACGCUGAGGAGCGAAAGCGUGGGGAGCAAACAGG
rnacentral:rRNA from 1 species